AUGGAGGGCUGUGCCUGCAUCGAGCAGUUCCGGCGAACUGACGAGCUCCUCAUCAAGUACCAGUACAUCUCGGACUUCUUCAUAGCCCUCGCCUACUUCUCCAUCCCACUCGAGCUGAUCUACUUCGCCAAGUCGGCAUCCUUCCCCUACAGAUGGGUGCUCCUCCAGUUCAGCGCCUUCAUAGUCCUCUGUGGGGCCACCCACCUCAUAAACCUCUGGACCUUCACCAAGCACACCAGGACCGUCGACAUCGUCAUGACGGUAACCAAGGUCACCACGGCCGUCGUGUCCUGCGCGACGGCCCUCACGCUCAUCCAUAUCAUACCUGAUUUGUUGGGUGUCAAGACGAGGGAGUUGUUCCUCAAGAAGGCCGACAAGCUCGACAGGGAGUUGAGCCUCAUGCGAUCGCAGGAGGAGACCGGGAGGCAUGUCAGGAUGCUCAUCCAUGAGAUCAGGAGCACGCUUGACAGGCACACCAUCCUCAAGACUACUCUGGUUGAGCUCGGGAGGACGCUGGGUCUGCAGGAAUGUGCUUUCUGGAUGCCGUCGAGGAGCGGUUCGAGCCUUGAGCUAACUCAUACCAUGCGCCACCACAUCCCCACGGGCUCUUCUGUGGAGAUUAAUCUCCCUGUUGUCAACCAAGUCUUCAGUACCAACCGGGCUAUUAUAGUGCCACAUACAUCUCCUUUUGCGAGGAUCCACCCUGUUCAAGGGCGGCAUGUCCCACCCGAGGUGGCUGCUGUGAGAGUCCCGUUGCUGCAUCUUCCAAACUUUCAUCCUGAGCUUUUGGCAAAAAGCUACGCAAUUAUGGUUUUGAUGCUCCCAUCUGAUAGUGCAAGGAAGUGGCUUGCUCAUGAACUCGAGCUCAUCGAGGUUGUCGCCGAUCAGGUAGCUGUUGCCCUCUCAUGCGGCAAUUCUUGA
rnacentral:rRNA from 1 species